rnacentral:tRNA from 1 species
GGUUCCAUAGCAUAGUGGUGAGCACGUCUGCUUCACACGCAGAAGGCCCUGGGUUCGCGCCCCAGUGGAGCCA